UGGGGAAUAUUGCACAAUGGGGGAAACCCUGAUGCAGCGACGCCGCGUGAGUGAAGAAGUAUUUCGGUAUGUAAAGCUCUAUCAGCAGGGAAGAAAAUGACGGUACCUGACUAAGAAGCCCCGGCUAACUACGUGCCAGCAGCCGCGGUAAUACGUAGGGGGCAAGCGUUAUCCGGAUUUACUGGGUGUAAAGGGAGCGUAGACGGCGCGGCAAGUCUGAAGUGAAAGGCAGGGGCUUAACCCCUGAACUGCUUUGGAAACUGCCAUGCUAGAGUGCUGGAGAGGUAAGUGGAAUUCCUAGUGUAGCGGUGAAAUGCGUAGAUAUUAGGAGGAACACCAGUGGCGAAGGCGGCUUACUGGACAGUAACUGACGUUGAGGCUCGAAAGCGUGGGGAGCAAACAGG
rnacentral:rRNA from 1 species